GAUGAACGCUGACAGAAUGCUUAACACAUGCAAGUCAACUGUGGCGGACGGGUGAGUAACGCGUAAAGAACUUGCCUCACAGAUAGGGACAACAUUUGGAAACGAAUGCUAAUACCUGAUACUGUGAGAGAGCUUUGCGUCCCAUUAGCUAGUUGGAGAGGUAACGGCGCACCAAGGCGAGGAUGGGUAGCCGGCCUGGGAGGGUGAUCGGCCACAAGGGGACUGGGGCGCUGCCCGUAGUCCUUCGGGAGGAAGGAGUGGGGAAUAUUGGACAAAGGACCAAAGUGUGAUCCAGCAAUUCUGUGUGCACGAUGAAGUUUUCGGAAUGUAAAGUGCUUUCAGUUGGGAAGCAGUACCAACAGAAGAAGUGACGGCUAAAUACGUGCCAGCAGCCGCGGUAAUAC
rnacentral:rRNA from 1 species